GUCGAACGCUGAACCGGUUUCGGCCGGGGAUGAGUGGCGAACGGGUGAGUAACACGUGGGUAAUCUGCCCUGUACUCUGGGAUAAGCCUGGGAAACUGGGUCUAAUACCGGAUACGACCACUACAGGCAUCUGGGGUGGUGGAAAGUUCCGGCGGUAUGGGAUGAACCCGCGGCCUAUCAGCUUGUUGGUGGGGUAAUGGCCUACCAAGGCGACGACGGGUAGCCGGCCUGAGAGGGUGACCGGCCACACUGGGACUGAGACACGGCCCAGACUCCUACGGGAGGCAGCAGUGGGGAAUAUUGCACAAUGGGCGCAAGCCUGAUGCAGCGACGCCGCGUGAGGGAUGACGGCCUUCGGGUUGUAAACCUCUUUCGCCAGGGACGAAGCGCAAGUGACGGUACCUGGAUAAGAAGCACCGGCUAACUACGUGCCAGCAGCCGCGGUAAUACGUAGGGUGCGAGCGUUGUCCGGAAUUAUUGGGCGUAAAGAGCUCGUAGGCGGUUUGUCGCGUCGGCUGUGAAAUCUGGAGGCUUAACCUUCAGCGUGCAGUCGAUACGGGCAGACUUGAGUUCGGCAGGGGAGACUGGAAUUCCUGGUGUAGCGGUGAAAUGCGCAGAUAUCAGGAGGAACACCGGUGGCGAAGGCGGGUCUCUGGGCCGAUACUGACGCUGAGGAGCGAAAGCGU
rnacentral:rRNA from 1 species